rnacentral:rRNA from 1 species
ACCCUACGGGACGCAGCAGUGGGGGAUAUUGCACAAUGGGGGGAACCCUGAUGCAGCGACGCCGCGUGGGUGAAGAAGCGCCUCGGCGCGUAAAGCCCUGUCAGCAGGGAAGAAAAUGACGGUACCUGAAGAAGAAGCCCCGGCUAACUACGUGCCAGCAGCCGCGGUAAUACGUAGGGGGCAAGCGUUGUCCGGAAUUACUGGGUGUAACGGGAGCGUAGGCGGGGAUGCAAGUUGGGGGUCAAAACUAU